GGGCGGGUGGCUCUCGGUGUGAGGGGCUCGCCGAGGUGGGGGUGCUGGUGUGAGGGUUUCUGUGGGGAGAGGUCGUUGGUGUGGUGGGUUCUUGGGGGCUGCUGGCUGUGAGGGGUUGUGUGAGGAGGAAGCCUUGGUGAGAGGGGCGCUUGGGGAGGGCUUGGUGUGAGGAGAGAGUAACCAGCUGUGUGAGGAGGGGCUUUGGCGGGAGGGGCAGUUUUAGGGGACAGGUGAGGGAUUGCUGAGGGAUGGGAGAGCAGGAGAGAGUUGGGGGUGCUGAGGGGAGUUUGGGGAAGAGGGUUUGUGGGAGCCCCGUGUAGGGACACUGAGCGGGGAGAAGGGCCUGAGGCCGUGGGGGACGUGGGGCCUGGACAUAGGCAGGGAGAGGCCUGGCACGGGUGGGAACUUUUUGGGGGCAGUGUGGCAGAGGGCUGGGGAUUUGGGGCAUGCUGACUGUGGUGAGGAUAUGGAGCCAAGUGCAGCUGCCUCUGGCCAGGAGCAGCUCAGCUACAGGUGGUGACAAUCCCAGGAGGUGGUAGGUGACUGCUCUAGUGCAGCUUCCCUCACCAAAUGGGUGUAUUUCAGCCUGCCCUUGGCCAAGCUGUUUCUGGGGUGUGGCCAGAAGAGGGGGGAAAAAAAAAAUCUCAUGGACUGAGCAUGUGGUGUCCCAAACUGUACUCUUGGCUCUCAGUGGUGGGUGUUGAACGUGGUAGGUUGUUGAGCCUUUGUGUGCUUUGGUAUCUCCAUCUAUGAAGCAGAGAUAACAGUUGGCUUCAUGCAGGGAUUAAUUAUCGCAUCUUGUAGUCACGUAUUUGUUUAUUUGUUUUUGCUAUAGAUUACAGCUGGAGGAAUUCUAAACAGUCCACUUCUCCUUGUCAUGGUGUUUGAGCGCAUUGUGCUCCUGUCUGAACAGAGGAAAUCACUGAGAGGUCAAAGUCUACUGCAAGCAGUGACCGAUACAAUUCCCUGUGUAGGUCAGGCUGGACUGCCUGUGCCUCAUGUUCUAACAGCAGGGGAGUUUGUGCAAGAACACCUUGGUUGGUAUUUGUGUGGAUUUCUCUGUGGUCCCUGUGAUGAGCCUAGCAAACAGGAGGAGAUCCAGAAUUGUCUGAAAGCCAGGAUUCUUUGAAAUCCCAGAGUGGUAAUGAUGAGAGAUGUGGCUGAGGCCAACUGCUAGCCUGCCUCCUAUGCUGCUUCUUGCAUGUGUCCAAGAAGCUGCCUCCAGUUGAUACAAUUGCACUCUAGUAAACAAUUUUGCAUGCAGAUAUGGGCAGCAGAUGUUAGUCAUGCCUGUGUGAACACUUCAGCAUUUUUACAACAGGGAUGAUCCUCAGAUUGAGUCCUGUUAAACAAUGGAUGUGCCCACCAGAAGUCACACUGGUUGCAGCCAUUCUCUUACAGCUUGCUCAAAACACUUUGAAGGAUGGUCACGCCAUCCUUCUUUGGCCACUCAAGGGGAUUGACUCACAAAUAUGAGCAAAAUAAAAUUAGAUGGCUUUAAGUGGCUGCAGCCCCAGCUGUGUCCCCACUGCCCAAUUCCCAGAAGGUCAUCCCUGCAGCCAGGCUGGCUGUAGAAGGCAACUCCUGAGCUGCUAGAGUGACAGCCCGUUCUUCAGGGUGUUAAUAUUUGUCUGGCUCCUCUGUGAAACAGUUUAGAAAGCUUAACCAGAAUAAAAAUGUGCACUUUUCCAUCUGAAGAAUUAGUUUUUAGUUUAAUUUCUUAGAUGGGCUCUGAGAAGCAGCACCAUUACUGUGAGGGCAGGGCAGAGAGAGAUGACCUUCCCUUUUGGGAGCAGCCAUUACGUCACUUUUGCUGCCUCACAAAACUAUGCCCAAUGGUUAUUUUUGGUGCUGGACUGCCUUAAUUUUCUGGGGAGUGAAUGAAGGAUUACCACAGUGUGCUUAUGACAUUUGGAAACUCAGCUUUUAGAAAAAAAAUCAUAAUUCAGCUUAAUGCUGAGGCUUAAAUUGCUAGGGAUGGGAAAGAUGAGUGUCCAUGGUAUUCAUUUCUACAAUUCAGCUAGGGGUUAAAUCCUUUUUAAAUUUUUUGGGUUUUGCUGCUGUUUAAGACCUCUAACCUAAUGCCUACUAUCCAGCUGCCUCUAGAGAGAGAAGUCUUUAAAGAGACCAGCUUUGUACCUAUAAAUAAUGUACACAGCAGAGUACAAAAAUGGAGUCAAGGAGAAGCUCCUCCUUACCUGAAUGUAACUGCAGCGGCUCUGUGAGAAUAGCUGUGGUCAGGCUGUGAGCAGCACUCGUACCCUGUCAUCCAUCUUGACUAAACUGCUUCUGAGAACUGAUUCUGAGAUUCAGAAUAAACUGGUAAAUCACAGCUGCCUUGUACUGAAACACAUUAGAUGCCAGCAGCCAAACGUGGCAAGGUUUUGAACAGUGUGGUUCUAAUCCUGCUUGUAACUGAAGGUCUGCUGGAGUGCUUUGUUAAAUUGGAUGUGUUGGAAUAUGGACAGUUUUGCAAGCCUGAUCCCCUGCUAUAAAUGAAAACACUGUGGCAAAAAAAUGUAAAUAAAUGCCACACAUACUUUGAGGCCUUCCCACUAUUUAUAAAUAUGGUAAUUUUGGUGUUUCCCAGUUUUGAGUUUUAAACAGGAGACAGAUACAUGAAAUAUUACAAAGCAAGCAUUUUAUUUUUUUCUUUAUUAAUUUUAUAAUUUCACUUUUUACUUAUCUGAAAACAGUUAAUGGAAACUAAAUGUAGUGUUUUAAAGAAGAUUGCCUUUGAAAGGAAAUAAUUUGUUCUUGAAAAAAUAAUUUCAAUAGCUUCCCAGUUUAACUGCAUUUUAAUAUGAACACAAAACUCAUCCUGGGUCAGACUCUCCAGGAAAACUUUCUCAUGAUUCCUGUAGCAGUUGAUUCAUUCCUCACCACCUUAAUUUUGCAGCUUUAAAUGGCAGGUUCUCUGCAAAGCCAUCCACUUCAAAGCUUUAUAAAACAGAGCUUUGAAUAAAUUACUGAGUUAGAAAUUAUACUGGCUGUGCCCAGCUUUGUGCCUGGAUGUGGGAAUACUUGGCACUGGGUGUGGAAUUCCAAGGAAAAUUGCCUCUUUGCUGGCUUGCCAAA